UUGCUGACCCAUCCUUCAAUUCCCUCGUCCAAGUCAUUAAUAAAAAUUACAAACAGUAGAGGCCCAAGGACAGAGCCCUGUGGAACUCCACUCACCACUGACUUCCAGGCAGAAUAUUUUCCUUCUACUACCACUCGCUGUCUUCUGUUGGCCAGCCAAUUCUGUAUCCAAGCAGCUAAGUUCCCCUGUAUCCCAUUCCUCCUGACCUUCUGAAUGAGCCUUGUUCAAGCAGUGCAGGUUUGAAAACCUAUUUUGUAUAGGUGAAUGGGUUUGUUGCACGUCGAGACAGCAGAUCUUAGACAACCUCAAGUUUAGAGGGUGUGGACUAUAGGAUCAACCAGGAAUGCAAAGAAAUAGUUGAAUAUAGAGAUAACAAUGGUAUGAGAGGCAAUAUCAUCAGCAGAUGCACUAUAAAAAGGUAAAGUUAGGUGACAUUACAGAGCUGGAUUAGCUGGUUUUGAUGAUGGCACAAAUAUGUGGUUGAAUGCCUAUCUCAGCUUUGGUUGGUUUAGUCUCUGGCUGUUGCUGGGGAGAAGGACGGAGUUGGUAGUUGCGGAAUUGAAUAUGAAACAGGGACCAAAUCAAUGACUUCAGUCUUUCCAAUACUUAAAUGGAGAAAAUUUCUGCAUAUUCAGUUUUUUGAAUGUCAGAUAUUAUAUUUGAUUACUUAGGAACGAUGGAGAAGUUGUGAAUGGUAUGAUCAGUGUACAUGUGAAAGCUAAUACUCUUCCUUUGGAUGAUAUACUUGAAGAACAACAUAUCAAUGUGAAAUACGUUAGAUCCUUGAGGGAGACAUCAGAAGUAAUUGUGUGGGAGAAGGAAAAUAAAACAAUAUAAGUGUUACUUUGGCUACGAUUAAAUAGAUAAGAAUGGAACCAAGUGAAAGCAGUGUCACACAGCGAGAUGUUAUUGGAGAAAUGUUGGAGCACCUGGAGACGAAGUGUGGAACUUGGUAGUAGCAGUUUACUGGGAAUAGGAAUGAAAGUAGAAAGGUUAGAGAUAAGAAAAGCCCUGUCAAAAGUGCUUCUUCCACCCACCAGAGAUAGUUGACUUGGCUAUGGACUUUAGAUACUUUCUGAUCAACCUGCUGAGAGAUGUGCUGGAAGAGCUCAGCAGUUCUGGCAGCAUCUGUGGAGAGAAAUCAGAGUUAAUGUUUUGAGUCAAGUGACCCUUUCUUCACAGAUGCUGCCAGACAUGCUGAACUUUUCCAGCAUUUUCUAUUUUUGUUUCUUACUUACAGUAUCCACAAUUCUUUCGAAUUUUUGCAUUGGUUAGAGAAUAUUAUAAACCUCACAAGCAGGUAAGACUUGAACCCAGGCCUGUGGUCCAGAGGUAGGGCUCUAACAAUGUGCCACAAGAGCCUCUGAACCAUAAACUGUUCCCAAAUACCUCAAUUACCUAGGCCUCGAUUCCCAACUCUUAGUUUCUUUGCUUGUUGGGUGAUUUUCCAAAUUCUCCUAUCUUGGGUGUUGUAGUCAGUAGUUAGGAUUUGAACUCACCACUCCCAACUGGCGUGCAUGAAGAAAGAGAAGCGAUCUUAAAUCAUUUGAGGAAGCUAAAAUUAGUUCAGAGAAAAGAACUAGCUGAUUAUAAAAUCUCCAUCUGCUAGUUUGCUUUGAUUUUCACCCAGGAUGAUAAGAACAUAACAGCAGAAAAUCUUUCCAUUUUGGCAGGAAUAAUUUAAAUUGCCUGCUUCAAUAUCUUCUAUGAACUUACUUGAGAAAUCUAUUAACCUUUAUGUAAAAAAAAGUCCAAUUUCCUUUCUUGUUGACUUCCUAAUUUUUGUGUUCACCUUCCCCCACCCACUGUUGAGAGUUUGAAUUGUUUGUUUCGUUCAAAAUUAUGCUCAAGUGUACUCGAGUUCCUUGCUGCCUGUAAUGAUAAGCCAGUAAUUUGCAUUGAACAUCUAACUGAUGACUGCACAAAAGGUACAAAUCCUCCGCUGUUAGAUUUAAUUUUUUUUCAUUACUUGCUUCCAAUUUCAGUAGGCAUGAAGAAAAAGAAAUAUUGCAUUUAUAUAGCACCUGUCCCUAGCUAUGGCCCAAAGCACUUUACAAACAAUUAAAUAUUUCUGAAAUGUUGUCUCACAAAUUGAAUGUCAUAAUCACUUGAUAACCAUGUUUUUGAUGUCUGUUGAGAAAGAAAUAUUGACUGGGAUGUGGGAUAACUCCUCUAACCUCAUUUGAAAUAGCACAGGGGAUCUGUUGCAUCCUGCUAAAGAUAGAUUGGGUCUCAGUUUAUUGUGCCAUCUGACAGACAGCACCUUUGACAGUGCAGCAUUCUCAGCUCAGCACUGGAGUGUCAGCUUGGACCUCAUGCGAAUCUUUGAAGUAGGACUUGGACCCACAAUUUUCAGAAUGAGAAACCAUGAAAAUACCAACCAAAAUUACCUGUGCUUUCAAAGGUGUGCAGCAACCUGAAACCGCCCUGCUGGCUGUUCACAAAUCAUCCAUUUUGAGAUGCUGCAGUUGUGCAGCCAUGCAAUAACAUUUCAUUUGGAACUGUGCAUUCAGUUCAGUUGGCCAUGCACAACACAAGAUAUAGGCAGAAUAUUUCUCCCACCUGAGCUAUGGCUGGUCUUACUAAAGGUAUUACUUUCAAUUCCUUUUUGUUAAAUCCAGUCUUGGGUUAAGCAUUUCUUCACCCUUUGUAGCAUUUGAGAGCGAAAGUUGAAUUUCAUUAGAAAGACCGAAAGUACGAAGUCCUGUACAAAAUAACUAACCUAGGCUUUUGACAAGUUUUGGUUCCUGAUCUGGAUUAGCCAAUAUUGCACCUGCAAUAUUAUAAAUCUCAUCUUUCAAUUCCCAUCAUGGCGUUACCUUUUCCCCAUUCUUUGAAAUCUUUUUUGACCCUGUAACACUGCUGCAGCAUCUGUGCUUAUCCAAUUCUGGCCUCUUGCUCAGCUUCUUUAACCAAGCAUUUGACUAUGUGCCCUGAGAUAGUAGGAACUGCAGAUGCUGGAGAAUCUGAGAUAACACGGUGUUCUGAAGAAGGAUCUCAACCCGAAACGUCAACUUUCCUGCUCCUUUGAUGCUGCUUGACCUGCUUAGUUCAUCCAGCUUCACACCGUGUUAUCUUUGACUAUGUGCCCUAAUGUCUUGUAUGUAGCUUGGUGCCAUAUUCUGUUUUAUAAUGCCUUCUGUGAAGUGUCUUGUGCCAUUUUAAUAGCUUAAAUGUGCUGCGCAAAUAUAUGUUAAAUGCGUUACAGCGUAGCUGUGAAGAAAGUGAUUCUUGCUUGAAAUCUCAUCAAGAAGUUUGCAUUUGUAUUGCCUGUUUGUACAAGAGUCACAGUAUGUAAAAUGAAUGUGAAAUGGCCUGGAAGAAGUAUGAUGGGUAGCUUUGAACUGUGACCUAAUUAUCAUGACGUACCCAUUGUCACUAUCUUAAAACUUGAUAUAUUUUUCAGUUUUACUGGAAAAUAUUUAAUCUUCAGGGGAGGAACUGAUUCUGAAGUGGUCAUAUUAUGAUGAAGAAAUAGUAGAUGAAUGGGUCAUUCAUUAAAUUUUGGAUACCUUACUGAGAGCUCCAAGGAAAAGGAUAGAAAAACCUUGGCCAAUGAUGUUGGGAAACUUGUUUUUAAACAUGGUAUUCUUACAGAUGUCAAAAAUGCCAACAGCUUAAACCAAUCACAAACAGUUCAUAUACUUUGCCGUUUUGGUUUAAGGUUAUAUUGUUUUUCUCUCCAGUCUAAAAUGGAACAUAUUUCAUCAGGAUUGCAAGUAUGUCCAUUUUGUGGUAAAGCUUUUAAGCGACUGAAAACACAUCUUCCUCACUGUAAAAUGGCCAGAAUUGUGAACAGUAAAAGUAACUCUAAAGAGACAGAGAUAAAUAUUGCAAUUCCACAGCAAAAAAUAAAUUGGAAAUGCUCUCCAGCAUCAUCCAACAAGAAAAUGAAAGUUAAAGCAAACUCAGCAAAGAUUUUAACACAAAAGGAAGAAGUUUCAUCAACAAAAAAGAACAAUCAUUCGAUAGGUUUGGGAAAUGAACUGUGUGCUUCUGUACAAAGUGCUCAGCACAAAGAUAUUAAUGAACCACUUUCAGGUCAAGAAGAUUUGAUGAACAAGAGAUGGCAAAUCAAAAAAGAAAGUCAACAGUCUGUUAGUAAGACAACUAAAGGACAACCUAAAUGGGCAAAAAAAGAAAUGGUCAUAAGAACAAAGUCAAGUGAGCAUUUUUUAAAAUGUGAUGAAGAUAAAGUAGAUAUGAGGUUAAAAGGCGCUGCCACAACAAAAGUGAAGAGUUCUCAGAAGAUUGUAAAGGACAAUCGUAUAAAGAAAAAACAAGAAUAUAAUGAGCAUAGUUCUCUAAUGGACCCACUGAAUGAAAAAGGAUGCACUGACUUGGUAUCGCAAAGUACAUUUUGUUCAAAAGGGAAAUCAAUUCUUAAUUUAGAACAAAUUCACAUCCAACCAGAAUUUGAAAAGGGGACAGCUGUGUUGGAUCUGAAGGCCUAUGAAAUUGUACCUCAGCUAUCUUGUGCUAUCCAAUCAAAUUCACAUCACUUCUCAAGACGAGAGAAUGCAGUUUCUCAAGAUGAUUUAAGAUGUCAAGCCAGCCAGAAUGAAGUCACAAAAAGGAUGGUCUCAUAUAUACCAGUAACUGAACAACAUCCAGUAAUUAACAUCAAAACUAGUGUGUGGCAUCACAUUAAAAAUAAUUUGUGUAAAUCAAGAACCUGUGUAAAACAGGAUUUUAUUUUGAAAGCUAACAGGAAUGGUUAUAGAGCUGAUGUUUUAAAGACAAGUCAUUGUAAUUCCUCUGCUAAUAAUUACAUUUGGAGUGAAAUUAUGACUUCUGAGCAGGUGAAGGAUUUAAAUAAAUAUAAAGGCAAACCACAUAUUGAUGAUGUGGAUGUGAAGGAAAUGGAACCAAGUGACUGCAACAUAAAUGGUGCCACACCAUCAGAAUAUUUGCAUUUGUCCCAGAAAGAAAAUGAUUGGAAAAAAGACUUGUUCUCAUCAACGAACUCCAGGAAAACAGUGCAUUUGGAUGAAAAGAUUAAAGAACCUUGUUUUUGUGGGCAAACUGGGAUAGGAAUGGAGUGGUUUCCUGAACUGUAUCCAGGCUACCGUAGUAUUGGACUGAGAAUGCUUCCCGAACAAAUUAAACAGUUGGAAACAUCUAUAAGACUAUCUGCCAUUUGGUGUAAAAACACAAAAGGAGGCCAAAUAUUUAUCUGGAAGAUGUAGUGUCUCUAACUUCUCAAUGUCUGAGCCAAACACCUCAUGCAUAUUACGGAGGUCAUAGUAAAUAUAUGAACCCAUGGAGAAGAAGAGCUGGAGGUGUGAUCACUUUGCUUUUGGGAUGUGCAAUCUUCAGCUACACUUGGAAUUAUGAUUUCAACAAACACGACUACAGGAGAAAAUAUCAUUGAGAUUUUGGAACUACAAUGUUUUUCUGAUUCAUUCCACUCCAAAAUCAAGAGGUAGAAGAUAUUGUAUGAAGAAAAAACAUCAAAAAUUUUGCUGUGGAUUUUAAUUAUUGUGCCUUUCAGUUAUUGUGCUUUGCAUUAUGUAGGAGAGGCAUAAAUAAGAUGAGUAUACUUGAGUUGCUUUACUAUGAAGAUAUUUUAAAAUUUUACAAGCUAUAAAUAGGGGUAUUAUUUUAGACUGUCAUUUGUCAUUGUUUUUGUAAGUCAUUGUUGAUAUAAAGUGAUUUCAAAAUGCACUUUCCUGACUACUACAGAAGGAAACAUAUCUUAAAAUAAAAUAAAUAGAACUUUCAAGCAAGUAUUCUGGAAAAACUGACUUGUAAGUAGUUAAAUAAAUGGCAAUAAGAAAAAUAAUCUCACUUGUAGGAUUUUUAGCAUUCUACCAUCCAUCAAAAUCUUGUUCCAGAUAAUCUUUUCUUUUGUUUAGAAAAAAAAACAGCAUUGUGUAGGCAGUACCAUUAGUUGCUUCAGUAGAAGAAAACCUUCACAUCUUAAAGCAUUUGCUGAAACAAACAAUCAAGUUGGUUACACUUUGAGCAAAAUUAUCUUGUGCUUUCUUCAGAUUUGUAUGAGGAGCUUGA